rnacentral:rRNA from 1 species
AUACAGGAAGAAACACCCCGACGUGUCGGGACUUGACGGUACUGUAGGAAUAAGGAUCGGCUAACUCCGUGCCAGCAGCCGCGGUAAUACGGAGGAUCCAAGCGUUAUCCGGAAUCAUUGGGUUUAAAGGGUCCGUAGGCGGCCUUAUAAGUCAGUGGUGAAAUCUCCCAGCUCAACUGGGAAACUGCCAUUGAUACUGUAGGGCUUGAAUUAUUAGGAAGUAACUAGAAUAUGUAGUGUAGCGGUGAAAUGCUUAGAUAUUACAUGGAAUACCAAUUGCGAAGGCAGGUUACUACUAAUAUAUUGACGCUGAUGGACGAAAGCGUGGGUAGCGAACAGGAUUAGAUACCCUGGUAGUCCACGCCGUAAACGAUGGAUACUAGCUGUUCGGAGCAAUCUGAGUGGCUAAGCGAAAGUGAUAAGUAUCCCACCUGGGGAGUACGAACGCAAGUUUGAAACUCAAAUGAAUUGACGGAGAACUCCCACGAA